rnacentral:snRNA from 1 species
GUUUGAGAUUCAUCUUCAACAA